UAAAUUGUUAGCAAACCCAACAUUAGCUGGCUAACUCUGUAUUUCGCUAGCAAACCCAACAUUAGCUGGCUAACUCUGUAAAUCUCUAGCAUGCCCAGCAUUAGAUGACUAACUCUGUAAAUUGUUAGCAAACCCAACAUUAGCUGGCUAAUUCUGUAUUCCGCUAGCAAACUCAACAGUAGCUGGGGGCGGAGCUUAAUUACAUUUUCAGCCUGAUGAUCUACGCUAGCAAACUGAACAUCAUCUACUUUCUGCUGAAAGUUGGUAUGGAGGCUUUCAAUUGUGGAAUUGCACUCCUCAACCUCCUCAACCUUCUCAACCUCCUCAACCACAGUGAACUCCUUUGGGAUGAACUGGAUCUGAAGCCUCGUCACCUUCUCCGACAUCAGCGUCUGAUCUCAAUUAUUAGCUAAAUGAUCACUAUUUCCUACAGAGACGAGUGGAAAGACUUCACAGGUGAAAAGAGUGGACCUUAUUAUAACAAGGAAAGAGCAUGAAGGUCCUCAAACUCGUAGGAAUGUGGUGCUCAUGAACUUCUGUGAAAUUUCUUCUGACCAUAUAAGUGCAUUAAUCAGAAUCUCAUUGGUGCACAAACAGGAAGUGAUGAAAGAAUUAAAAAAAGGUGGUGUUUAUGGGGUGUUUAAAUAGUCUGAGUGGAAUACAGGAAGCAGGUGUGUUGGACGUCAGGUGAGAGU